rnacentral:lncRNA from 1 species
AUGGCAUUGGGAACAGAUGGUGAAGGUUUCCAUAAAACAGAAGAGGAAACAGACCUGUCUUCAGUGAGGACUUCAAAGUGUCUCAUUCCUCACAAUGAGUAUGACAUGGAAGAUAAGGCAAGAAGAAACUCACAUAUCAGAUUUGCUCACAACUGUGUCACCGAUAUAGAAUAGUGUUUCAGCUCUAGGAAGCCAAAGUAUAUGUUACAGAAAAGAGGGGCCAGCAACAUGCCCUAGAAAAAAAUAAUAAUGUCUCCUCUAGAUCAAGGCAACUGCACAAAACUAAAAUUGGAAUUAGCUAGCAUACGAGGCAAACCCAGUCUUGCAAUUAAUGUUUUAUCUUUUUGCAAGUCCUACUUGAGGUUCAUUUUCGUUGUGAAUAGAAACCAGAAAUUGCCAUGUUGAACACAUAGCUCUUUCCUGACAGAUUUCUUAUCUCACUGUGUUACGGAUAUUAUAAGGGAGAAGCUGCAUUAUACGAAACCAGCAUGAUUGUCUGUUGAUGCUCAGCUGCCUGGGAAGGAAUGGGAUACGAAGCUUAGAAAAUAAAGUUGCCUGAACUAUACGGAGACCUGCCA